rnacentral:rRNA from 1 species
AUGAACGCUGGCGGCGUGCCUAAUACAUGCAAGUCGAGCGAACGGACGAGAAGCUUGCUUCUCUGAUGUUAGCGGCGGACGGGUGAGUAACACGUGGAUAACCUACCUAUAAGACUGGGAUAACUUCGGGAAACCGGAGCUAAUACCGGAUAAUAUUUUGAACCGCAUGGUUCAAAAGUAAAAGACGGUCUUGCUGUCACUUAUAGAUGGAUCCGCGCUGCAUUAGCUAGUUGGUAAGGUAACGGCUUACCAAGGCAACGAUGCAUAGCCGACCUGAGAGGGUGAUCGGCCACACCGGAACUGAGACACGGUCCAGACUCCUACGGGAGGCAGCAGUAGGGAAUCUUCCGCAAUGGGCGAAAGCCUGACGGAGCAACGCCGCGUGAGUGAUGAAGGUCUUCGGAUCGUAAAACUCUGUUAUUAGGGAAGAACAUAUGUGUAAGUAACUGUGCACAUCUUGACGGUACCUAAUCAGAAAGCCACGGCUAACUACGUG